GUUUUUUCAGGCUACUUCCGCGUUAUGGAGAGCUCAACAGUUCUUAACAGUGACAUUCGCGGAGUUUGCCUCAUUCACUUCCAUUGGUGUCUGCCUAACUUUGUCAGCGAUGCUGAAAGUGAUGUGACAAGACAUUGUCUUCAAUUAAGUGGUCCUUGACCAAGGAUGCAGAGGACAAGACGGGUGUGUAGUAUUGACUGAAAUUAUCAGAGAAGGUCAUUUUUUAUGGUUUAGGUCCAAACGAAGGGACCCUUCCAACCUCAGCAUCUCCAACACCUCCUGUCACACCUCCAGCCAAAUGUGAUGCAUCUUCCUCAGUUAACCUUCUUGUACUGUAGGUGUGCAUGUCCAGCAUCCUUUGCACAUUAAUGUCUUUAGUUGUACACACGGUACGGUUGUUCAGAUUUGGGAAUCUGAAAUGUUUUUCAGAAUGUCUUUGAAAAUAUAAAUGGGUGUUAACCCUCCUGUUUAUAUUGCAGUCUCACCAUAUCUCCCUUAAGCCUUUUCUGUGUGUA